CCUACGGGUGGCAGCAGUGAGGAAUAUUGGUCAAUGGACGAGAGUCUGAACCAGCCAAGUAGCGUGAAGGAUGACUGCCCUAUGGGUUGUAAACUUCUUUUAUAUGGGAAUAAAAUGUUCCACGUGUGGGAUUUUGUAUGUACCAUAUGAAUAAGGAUCGGCUAACUCCGUGCCAGCAGCCGCGGUAAUACGGAGGAUCCGAGCGUUAUCCGGAUUUAUUGGGUUUAAAGGGAGCGUAGGUGGAUUGUUAAGUCAGUUGUGAAAGUUUGCGGCUCAACCGUAAAAUUGCAGUUGAAACUGGCAGUCUUGAGUACAGUAGAGGUGGGCGGAAUUCGUGGUGUAGCGGUGAAAUGCUUAGAUAUCACGAAGAACUCCGAUUGCGAAGGCAGUUCACUGGACUGCAACUGACACUGAGGCUCGAAAGUGUGGGUAUCAAACAGGAUUAGAUAAGUC
rnacentral:rRNA from 1 species